UGAACGCUGGCGGCGUGCUUAACACAUGCAAGUCGAACGAGAACGGGCCUAGCUUGCUAGGCUGUCAGCUAAGUGGCGGACGGGUGAGUAAUGUAUAGUUAAUCUGCCCUUUAGAGGGGGAUAACAGUUGGAAACGACUGCUAAUACCCCAUACUCCUUUUACCUUAAUGGUAAUUGGGAAACGUUUUUUCGCUAAAGGAUGAGACUAUAUGGUAUCAGGUAGUUGGUGGGGUAAGAGCCUACCAAGCCAAUGACGCCUAGCUGGUCUGAGAGGAUGAUCAGCCACACUGGAACUGAGACACGGUCCAGACUCCUACGGGAGGCAGCAGUGGGGAAUAUUGCACAAUGGAGGAAACUCUGAUGCAGCAACGCCGCGUGGAGGAUGACGCAUUUCGGUGUGUAAACUCCUUUUAUAUGGGAAGAUAAUGACGGUACCACUGAAGGUAGCACCGGCUAACUCC
rnacentral:rRNA from 1 species